rnacentral:rRNA from 1 species
AACGAACGCUGGCGGCAGGCCUAACACAUGCAAGUCGAGCGAGAUCUUCGGGUCUAGCGGCGGACGGGUGAGUAACGCGUGGGAAUAUGCCUCUUGGUACGGAAUAGCCUCGGGAAACUGGGAGUAAUACCGUAUGUGCCCUUUGGGGGAAAGAUUUAUCGCCAAGAGAUUAGCCCGCGUUGGAAUAGGUAGUUGGUGGGGUAAUGGCCUACCAAGCCGACGAUCCAUAGCUGGUUUGAGAGGAUGAUCAGCCACACUGGGACUGAGACACGGCCCAGACUCCUACGGGAGGCAGCAGUGGGGAAUCUUAGACAAUGGGGGCAACCCUGAUCUAGCCAUGCCGCGUGAGUGAUGAAGGCCUUAGGGUUGUAAAGCUCUUUCAGCUGGGAAGAUAAUGACGGUACCAGCAGAAGAAGCCCCGGCUAACUCCGUG